rnacentral:SRP_RNA from 1 species
UGGCUAGGCCGGGGGGUUGGGCGUCCCCUGUAACCCGAAAUCGCCCUUAUGCGGGGGCCGAAAACUUGGGGGCGGUAUGUUGUUUGGCCCCCUCUUCCCAGAUUCCUCGAUGAUGCCUCGUCCCGUGGGGCUCGGCGGUGGGGGAGCAUCUCCUGUAGGGGAGAUGUAACCCCCUUUGCCUGCCGAACCCCGCCAGGCCCGGAAGGGAGCAACGGUAGGCAGGACGUCGGCGCUCACGGGGGAAGCGGGGCUGAGAAGGAAUCUGGGGGCGAGAGGGGGCUAGACAACAUACCCACCCCAAGGAAGCCA